UAGGGAAUCUUCCGCAAUGGACGCAAGUCUGACGGAGCAACGCCGCGUGAGUGAAGAAGGAUUUCGGUUCGUAAAACUCUGUUGUUAGAGAAGAACAGCGCAUAGAGUAACUGUUAUGCGUGUGACGGUAUCUAACCAGAAAGCCACGGCUAACUACGUGCCAGCAGCCGCGGUAAUACGUAGGUGGCAAGCGUUGUCCGGAUUUAUUGGGCGUAAAGCGAGCGCAGGCGGUCAAUUAAGUCUGAUGUGAAAGCCCCCGGCUCAACCGGGGAGGGUCAUUGGAAACUGGUUGACUUGAGUGCAGAAGAGUUGAGUGGAAUUCCAUGUGUAGCGGUGAAAUGCGUAGAUAUAUGGAGGAACACCAGUGGCGAAGGCGACUCUCUGGUCUGUAACUGACGCUGAGGCUCGAAAGCGUAGGUAGCAAACAGG
rnacentral:rRNA from 1 species